CCUACGGGAGGCAGCAGUGAGGAAUAUUGGUCAAUGGGCGCGAGCCUGAACCAGCCAAGUAGCGUGAAGGAUGACUGCCCUAUGGGUUGUAAACCUCUUUUGUCGGGGAGCAAAAGCCGGACGUGUCCGGCUGUGAGAGUACCCGAAGAAAAAGCAUCGGCUAACUCCGUGCCAGCAGCCGCGGUAAUACGGAGGAUGCGAGCGUUAUCCGGAUUUAUUGGGUUUAAAGGGUGCGCAGGCGGAUUUUUAAGUCAGCGGUAAAAUCGUGGGGCUCAACCCCAUCCAGCCGUUGAAACUGGGGAUCUAGAGUGUGCGAGAGGUAUGCGGAAUGCGUGGUGUAGCGGUGAAAUGCAUAGAUAUCACGCAGAACCCCGAUUGCGAAGGCAGCAUACCGGUGCACAACUGACGCUCAGGCACGAAAGCGUGGGUAUCGAACAGGAUUAGAUACCCGAGUAGUC
rnacentral:rRNA from 1 species